rnacentral:lncRNA from 1 species
CUUUUCCUCUUCUCCCUGUCCUCUUCCCUAACUUAGAGCAGGGAACAAUAUUACCUUGUGUUAUCUGUGCUCCACAGGAAGGAGAUGUCUGCCAAAGAAUCUAGGAAGUAAGUAUCUCCCAAAUUAACAAGUGAAUCCUAACACACCAUCAAGGUACCCUGGGUCCCCCUACCAGAGCACACCUGGUAGAGUUUCUUUAAAAGCCCCCUGUUCCUCCUGAUGGGCAGAAUCACAGCCUCAGGGACAGGAGUCCCCUGUAUUUCUCCUUUGCUAGCAAAGAAAUAAAACUUCUUUUUCCUUUUUCUCUAAACCAUGUCCUCAUUAUUAAAUUGACAUGAACUGGCAUUGGGGACAAGGACUGAGAUUUUGAUUUUAAAUUUGGCACCCCAAGUGGGACCAGGGAACAGUCCUUGCUCUCGCUUUCUUGGGCAGACCUGGCACUCCAAGCAACUGCACUUCUAUGCUGAGGAUGAACAGUGAACUUUUUGAGAGCUCACUGCUGGAAAGUCAGGAGAUGGGCGAGUGUGCCUCAGGUGGAACUAGAAGAGCUAUAUCCCUGGGAGUAAAGGGAGGGACUUAGAAACUCCCAGCAGCUGCCCUUUUUGCUUUGGGGGAACUCCCACUUUCCUUCCCUGAACUUUACAAAUUGCUCCAUCUUGGUCUACUUUGAGAAAAAGGAGACUGAGCCCAGUGAAGUUGCGACACAUUGGCCAUCUGGUAAGCUCCCCUGGUGUGCACAAGGAGACCCAUGAUUCCACAUGUCUGGUUCCCCUUUGAGGGAACAUCUGGUCCCUCUUCAUAGGAACAUCUGUCUGUAGCAUUGCUGAUGUAAAAGUCAUGGUUCAGUAGGAGUUGGGAACUUGGGGGGAUUUCCCCCUAUCUGUUCUAUUUUAAAGGUUUCUGUCAGCCAUGGUUUGGGAAUCCUCUCUGUUUGUAUGUCUCUGUUUUUUGUUUGUAUCUGUUUCUGACCCUUUAAGAUUUGGGCAAUACUGGGUUGAUCCUAUAGAUUGUUUCUUGGGAAAGAUCUUGGCCAAAUGGGCCACCUAAAGAUAUAAACCUGUCUAUAAAAAAGAUGAUGUUUUACUUGUAACAAUCUGGACUUUGGAAUGGUUUUCUGAAUUAUUGUACAAUUUUGUGGUUGUGAGUUGGCCUGUCAGAGGCAGAAUAAGUGAAAGAUUCUGUGAGUACAUAAUAAGGAGUCUAAACAGUCAAAAACUAAGUUGAAUACAAAGAGCUGCUGCCUCUAAUGUGCGAGUAUAGCAGGACACCAAAAGAGGAUUUAAUUUUUUUUAAUCCCUUUAACCCAGUGCUGACAGUCUGAGCACCUGUAAGAACAUCAGCCACAGGAAUGCUUAGCAAUGUCUGGUCGCAAUUGAUAAGGACCAUCAUCUAAAGACAGAGCAAUGCUUGAGGGUGAUGCCAAUGAGCAUAAACUUGGAACUAUAUUUAAACUGCUUGUCCUGCCACAUCAGAGAUCUUCACUCUGAAGACAUCAAUGAGACUGACUGCCUUGCUGUCCAUCCCUGGAUCCUCUCCACCAUUCUCUGACAUCCACCCAUCUACUGGAGUAAACCAUCAGACAACAUCAAUGUCCACUUAUAAGAGAAGUCACGUGGCAUCAGAGGUACUUUGGGGCUCAUGGUGUCCUGGGAUUGUAUGAUGUAUUUGCUGUGUUUAAUUAAUUAAUGUGAAUUGAGUUAACUGUAUCUGAUGCUUGGUGUAACCAAAUAUAUAUGCUUG